rnacentral:tRNA from 1 species
UGGCUCAGUGGUUAAGAGCACUGGCUCCUCUUCCAGAGGACCUGGGUUCUAUUCCCAG